rnacentral:rRNA from 1 species
CCUACGGGAGGCAGCAGUGGGGAAUCUUGCGCAAUGGGCGAAAGCCUGACGCAGCAACGCCGCGUGCGGGAUGAAGGCCUUCGGGCUGUAAACCGCUUUCAGCAGGAACGAAAAUGACGGUACCUGCAGAAGAAGGAGCGGCCAACUACGUGCCAGCAGCCGCGGUGACACGUAGGCUCCAAGCGUUGUCCGGAUUUAUUGGGCGUAAAGAGCUCGUAGGCGGUCUAAUAAGUCGGGCGUGAAAACUCUGGGCUCAACCCGGAGACGCCAUCCGAUACUGUUAUGACUUGAGUUCAGGAGGGGAGCGGGGAAUUCCUAGUGUAGCGGUGAAAUGCGCAGAUAUUAGGAGGAACACCGGUGGCGAAGGCGCCGCUCUGGACUGAAACUGACGCUGAGGAGCGAAAGCAUGGGUAGCAAACAGGAUUAGAUACCCUGGUAGUCCAUGCCGUAAACGGUGGGCACUAGGUGUGGGUUUCAACUAACGAAAUCCGCGCCGUCGCUAACGCAUUAAGUGCCCCGCCUGGGGAGUACGGUCGCAAGACUAAAACUUAAAUGAAUUGACGG